AAAUGGUGGAAUGAGAAGUUCCUUCCUGGAAUGAAAUUCCUGUCUUGCAUCAACGGAUAGCCACAGGAGGGAGACCAAAGCUGCAGCAGCCCAACCUAUUCUCACCAUGCCUGUGUGAUUUCCUGUGCUGCUGCCUGCAGACAGACGAGGCACGGCGCUGGUCUGCCAAGGAGCUCCUGCAGCAUCCAUUUGUAACAUCAGCCAAGGCAGCAUCCACCCUGUCACCACUCAUUAUUUCAUUGAAG